rnacentral:rRNA from 1 species
UACGUAGGAGACGAGCGUUGUCCGGAAUUACUGGGCGUAAAGCGCGUGUAGGCGGAUGGGCAAGUCUGCUGUGAAAGCUCCUGGCUUAACCGGGAGUGGUCGGUGGAAACUGCCAAUCUGGAGGACGGUAGAGGUAGGUAGAAUUCCCGGUGUAGUGGUGAAAUGCGUAGAGAUCCGGAGGAACACCAGCGGCGAAGGCGGCAUCCUGGACUGGUCCUGACACUCAGGAGCGAAAGCGUGGGGAGCGAUCCGG